rnacentral:rRNA from 1 species
CCUGGCUCAGGAUGAACGCUGGCGGCGUGCUUAACACAUGCAAGUCGAACGAAGCACUUUUACAGAUUUCUUCGGAAUGAAGUUUUAGUGACUGAGUGGCGGACGGGUGAGUAACGCGUGGGUAACCUGCCUCACACAGGGGGAUAACAGUUGGAAACGGCUGCUAAUACCGCAUAAGCGCACAGUACCGCAUGGUACAGUGUGAAAAACUCCGGUGGUGUGAGAUGGACCCGCGUCUGAUUAGCUAGUUGGCAGGGCAACGGCCUACCAAGGCGACGAUCAGUAGCCGACCUGAGAGGGUGACCGGCCACAUUGGGACUGAGACACGGCCCAAACUCCUACGGGAGGCAGCAGUGGGGAAUAUUGCACAAUGGGGGAAACCCUGAUGCAGCGACGCCGCGUGAGCGAAGAAGUAUUUCGGUAUGUAAAGCUCUAUCAGCAGGGAAGAAGAAAUGACGGUACCUGACUAAGAAGCACCGGCUAAAUACGUG